CGGUCCUAAGGUAGCGAAAUUCCUUGUCGGGUAAGUUCCGACCCGCACGAAAGGUGUAACGAUUUGGGCACUGUCUCAACGAGGGACCCGGUGAAAUUGAAAUACCUGUGAAGAUGCAGGUUACCCGCGACUGGACAGAAAGACCCCAUGGAGCUUUACUGUAACCUGACAUUGGGUUUUGAUACAUUACGUACAGGAUAGGUGGGAGGCAUGGAAAGCUGGACGCUAGUCUGGCUGGAGCCGCCGUUGGGAUACCACCCUUGAUGUAUUGAAAUUCUAACCGCGAGAGUAACGAAAUCCGGGACAGUGUCAGGCGGGCAGUUUGACUGGGGCGGUCGCCUCCGAAAGAGUAACGGAGGCGCCCAAAGGUUCCCUCAGCGCGGCCGGAAAUCGCGCGAAGAGUGUAAAGGCAGAAGGGAGCUUGACUGCGAGUCAAACACGACGAGCAGGUACGAAAGUAGGGCUUAGUGAUCCGGUGGUACCGAGUGGAAGGGCCAUCGCUCAACGGAUAAAAGCUACCCUGGGGAUAACAGGCUAAUCUCUCCCAAGAGUCCAUAUCGACGGGGAGGUUUGGCACCUCGAUGUCGGCUCAUCACAUCCUGGGGCUGAAGUCGGUCCCAAGGGUUGGGCUGUUCGCCCAUUAAAGUGGUACGUGAGCUGGGUUCAGAACGUCGUGAGACAGUUCGGUCCCUAUCCAUCGCGGGCGCAAGAGAUUUGAAGGGGGCUGCUCCUAGUACGAGAGGACCGGAGUGGACGAACCGCUGGUGUACCAAUUAUCCCGCCAGGGGUACAGUUGGGUAGCUACGUUCGGAAAGGAUAAACGCUGAAAGCAUCUAAGCGUGAAACCAGCCUUAAGAUGAGAUCUCUCAUAGAGCAAUCUAGUAAGACACCUUAAAGAAGAUGAGGUUGAUAGGUCGGGAGUGUAAGUACAGCAAUGUAUUGAGCGGACCGAUACUAAUAUGUCGAGGGCUUGACUUA
rnacentral:rRNA from 1 species